rnacentral:rRNA from 1 species
GAUGAACACUGGCGGCGUGCCUAAUACAUGCAAGUCGAGCGAACGGACGAGAAGCUUGCUUCUCUGAUGUUAGCGGCGGACGGGUGAGUAACACGUGGAUAACCUACCUAUAAGACUGGGAUAACUUCGGGAAACCGGAGCUAAUACCGGAUAAUAUUUUGAACCGCAUGGUUCAAAAGUGAAAGACGGUCUUGCUGUCACUUAUAGAUGGAUCCGCGCUGCAUUAGCUAGUUGGUAAGGUAACGGCUUACCAAGGCAACGAUGCAUAGCCGACCUGAGAGGGUGAUCGGCCACACUGGAACUGAGACACGGUCCAGACUCCUACGUGAGGCAGCAGUAGGGAAUCUUCCGCAAUGGGCGAAAGCCUGACGGAGCAACGCCGCGUGAGUGAUGAAGGUCUUCGGAUCGUAAAACUCUGUUAUUAGGGAAGAACAUAUGUGUAAGUAACUGUGCACAUCUUGACGGUACCUAAUCAGAAAGCCACGGCUAACUACGUG